rnacentral:rRNA from 1 species
UGGGGAAUUUUGGACAAUGGGCGCAAGCCUGAUCCAGCCAUGCCGCGUGAGUGAAGAAGGCCUUCGGGUUGUAAAGCUCUUUCGGUUGGGAAGAAAUUGCCUGGGUUAAUACCACAGGUAGAUGACGGUACCAGCAUAAGAAGCACCGGCUAACUACGUGCCAGCAGCUGCGGUAAUACGUAGGGUGCAAGCGUUAAUCGGAAUUACUGGGCGUAAAGCGUGCGCAGGCGGUUUUGUAAGUCUGAUGUGAAAUCCCCGGGCUCAACCUGGGAAUUGCAUUGGAGACUGCAAGGCUAGAAUCUGGCAGAGGGGGGUAGAAUUCCACGUGUAGCAGUGAAAUGCGUAGAGAUGUGGAGGAACACCAAUGGCGAAGGCAGCCCCCUGGGUCGAUACUGACGCUCAUGCACGAAAGCGUGGGUAGCAAACA